rnacentral:rRNA from 1 species
UACGUAGGUGGCAAGCGUUGUCCGGAAUUAUUGGGCGUAAAGCGCGCGUAGGCGGGAGAGUAAGUCUGUUGUUUAAAUUCGGGGCUCAACCCCGUCAAGCAAUGGAAACUGCUUUUCUUGAGUGCAGGAGAGGAAAGGGGAAUUCCCAGUGUAGCGGUGAAAUGCGUAGAUAUUGGGAGGAACACCAGUGGCGAAGGCGCCUUUCUGGACUGUGUCUGACGCUGAGGAGC